CGCGUCACUUCCGGCAGUCGGCAAGAUGGCGGCGCUAGCACGGGGCAGUGCGAGAGGAGGAGGGAGGGGAAGAACGGUUUGGGUUGAAAAGACCUUAAAGCCCGUCCAGCUCCACUCCCAGGGACACCUUCCCCUAGCCCAGGUUGCUGCAGGCCCCGUCCAACCCGGCCUUGGGCACUUCCAGGGGAUUAAGGCAAGAUCGGUUUAAGUGAGGCUGGUAGGAGCAAUCCCAGAGAAACGCCUGGGGAUUAAAGAAGAACUGGAGCAGCAGCUGGGGAGUUGAGCCUGCUGGUGUGGACUUGGAGAACAACAGAGAGGAAAUGUCAGAGCCUGCUCUCAUCCUUGGCAAAACAUCAUCAAGUGAUGCCCAAGGCCUCAGAGGGCCCCCUCUGCACCUUAAAGGACCUGCAACAGGCUCUACAGCCAGUUAAACAGCACAAAUGAUGCCAAAUAUCAUCAAUUAUGCUAAAUAUGAGUACUAGAGAGAAUUAACAACAGACAAACAAACUCAGCAGUUCCUCAGUGCACAACCCCUGCCCCUUCCCAACAGGGCUUCAGUUCCUUCAAUCCCAAGGCUCCCAACCAACAUUCAGUGCACAGCACAAACUCCCACAUCCAACAAGAGCUCCCCACCUUCUUCCUGGGAAACAUUUUGGCCAAGGGAAGAGAAAAAAUGAAGGGAAAAGAGAAGGGGGCACCUGGAGUUGAACCAGGGACCUCUUGAUCUGCAGUCAAAUGCUCUACCACUGAGCUAUACCCCCCUUG